rnacentral:rRNA from 1 species
GACGAACGCUGGCGGCGUGCUUAACACAUGCAAGUGGAGCGACGAACCGGGCUUCGGCCCGGGGCAGAGCCGCGAACGGGUGAGUAACACGUGGGUAACCUACCCCGAUGACCGGGACAACCCGAGGAAACUCGGGCUAAUACCGGAUGUUCUCUGUUUUCGCAAGGAUUCAGAGCAAAGAUAGCUUCGGCCUUCGCAUCGGGACGGGCCCGCGGCCCAUCAGCUUGUUGGUGAGGUAACGGCUCACCAAGGCGACGAUGGGUAGCUGGUCUGAGAGGACGAUCAGCCACACUGGGACUGAGACACGGCCCAGACUCCUACGGGAGGCAGCAGUGGGGAAUCUUGCGCAAUGCGCGAAAGCGUGACGCAG